rnacentral:misc_RNA from 1 species
UGCAGCGCUGGUUACUGCACGAAUUCGUCAGCAAAAGGAUAUAAAAUGUUCAAAUUUCCUCAGGAUCCAAAAAAGAGACAAAAGUGGAUUGAAAAUAUGCUUCAUACAGAUCAGACGCCAGGAAAAUAUUUUGCAUACUGCGAAGUAAGUAGUACCCAAAUUGGAUAUAUACCGUAACAGUUUUAUUUAUAUAUGGUUUUUAAUUCUAUAUGAAUAUGUUAUUAUAUAGACAUUCUGUGUAAUAUAUAGGCCUCUUCAACUAGCUUUAUUUAUUGCUAUGACAAAUGAUAGGUUUCAGAUACAGAGACAUUCUGAGUUGCUCGAAUUGCAUGUUGAACACGUCAUAUAUGUAUAUAAAUAUAACAGAUUAAUUCUGAUUUUGUUUCUCAUGUAUUAAAUUUUGUUUUUCUUAUAUUCUUAUAUUUAAUAAAUAUUAGUGCAGGCAGAUUUAUGUGUGAGUAUGUACAUUGUUCUAUUUGUGAACAAUUUAACAAUGUUUUACUUUGAAAAUAAUUGUAUUUCAUGAAUAGGUUCAUUUUGUAAAAGAAAUGUUUACGAUUACUGCAUCUGGUCAACUUCGAUUGAAGCCAAAUGCUGUCCCGACAAUAUUCGGACCCUCAUCGCAACUGCCAAUGCAAAAUACUGAUACACUAGAUGCAGUUAUCAUCUUAGCCGUGUAGCAGUACAAUACACAAUUGAAAAAAUCUAGAUAGAAAUAAAAAAAUCAAUCACAUAAAA